rnacentral:tRNA from 1 species
GCGGAUGUGGUGGAAUGGCAGACACGUACGCUUGAGGGGCGUAUGAGCAUAGCUCGUGCGGGUUCAAAUCCCGUUGUCCGCA